GUUUAGGUAUUCAACUAUGAUUUUAAAUUGCAAAUUUAAAGGUAAAUUUUAUUUCCUAAAUU
rnacentral:tRNA from 1 species